rnacentral:rRNA from 1 species
CCUACGGGUGGCAGCAGUGAGGAAUAUUGGUCAAUGGACGAGAGUCUGAACCAGCCAAGUAGCGUGAAGGAUGACUGCCCUAUGGGUUGUAAACUUCUUUUAUAUGGGAAUAAAACGUUCCACGUGUGGGAUUUUGUAUGUACCAUAUGAAUAAGGAUCGGCUAACUCCGUGCCAGCAGCCGCGGUAAUACGGAGGAUCCGAGCGUUAUCCGGAUUUAUUGGGUUUAAAGGGAGCGUAGGUGGAUUGUUAAGUCAGUUGUGAAAGUUUGCGGCUCAACCGUAAAAUUGCAGUUGAAACUGGCAGUCUUGAGUACAGUAGAGGUGGGCGGAAUUCGUGGUGUAGCGGUGAAAUGCUUAGAUAUCACGAAGAACUCCGAUUGCGAAGGCAGUUCACUGGACUGCAACUGACACUGAGGCUCGAAAGUGUGGGUAUCAAACAGGAGUAGAUACCCCAGUAGUC